GAGAAACCCUACCAGUCGGUCCAGCCGCAGCCGCCGCCAUGUCGAAGCGAGGGAGGGGAGGCUCCGCGGGGAACAAGUUCCGGAUGUCGCUGGGGCUGCCUGUGGCGGCGACGGUGAACUGCGCCGACAACACGGGCGCCAAGAACCUCUACAUCAUCUCCGUCAAGGGCAUCAAGGGCCGCCUCAACCGCCUCCCGUCCGCCUGCGUCGGCGACAUGGUCAUGGCCACCGUCAAGAAGGGCAAGCCCGACCUCCGGAAGAAGGUCAUGCCCGCCGUCAUCAUCCGCCAACGCAAGCCCUGGCGCCGCAAGGACGGCGUCUUCAUGUACUUCGAAGACAAUGCUGGAGUGAUCGUGAACCCCAAGGGUGAGAUGAAAGGAUCUGCCAUCACCGGACCUGUGGGAAAGGAGUGUGCUGACCUUUGGCCCAGGAUCGCCAGCAACGCCAAUGCCAUCGUUUGAGAGCCUGUUUCAAGUUGUGAGACUGCUUAUAUAAUGCCAGUGUGGGUUGCAGCUGUUUUGCCUGGGAAAUAGUGGAACUCUGCGUUGCUCUGUUUUGUUUGGCAUCUCAGUUUCUUAGUGAACAGAAGCCUGCCUGUCUGCUUAGUUUAACAACUGUAACUUCGUUGCCAGAGAAAAUGGUGAACUUUGCGUAUCUCUGUUUUGGUUUGGCAUGAUGAGUUUAUGGGGAGUAUUCAUACAGAAGCCUUGCAUCACAUAACAAUGUUUAUGUGCAUUACCUCUGAUUUAUAUCGAAGAACACCGCGCUUCCAGCAGCAAGACGUUGUUUACCACGAAGCUUUAGAUGUAGCAACGUUACAGCAACUGCAAACACCGGCGGUAGGAAAACAAGUUUGCGCGGAUGAAGCAGAUAAAAUCGUCGCAGAAGCAGCCAAAAAACAACAACAAUGCCGGAUGAAGCAUAUAAAAUCGGUACUGACUUUGACCGGUUCCAGCAAAAGCUCUAGCAAAUUCCGUCGUUGACUAGACGUUUCCAGAAAUACUCAGUGGUUCCAGCAAAUCUGCAUGCCGAUUGCUGCAAACAAACGCCCGCCCUGUCAGGCAU
rnacentral:rRNA from 1 species